UGGCGGACGGGUGAGUAACGCGUGGGCAACCUGCCCUUAUCUGGGGGAUAACAGUUGGAAACGACUGAUAAUACCGCAUAAUAUGGUUUGAAGGCAUCUUCUUUCCAUCAAAGAUUUAUCGGAUAAGGAUGGGCCCGCGUCCGAUUAGCUUGUUGGUGAGGUAACGGCUCACCAAGGCGACGAUCAGUAGCCGACCUGAGAGGGUGAUCGGCCACAUUGGAACUGAGACACGGUCCAAACUCCUACGGAAGGCAGCAG
rnacentral:rRNA from 1 species